GACGAACGCUGGCGGCGUGCUUAACACAUGCAAGUGGAGCGACGAACCGGGGCUUGCCCCGGGGCAGAGCCGCGAACGGGUGAGUAACACGUGGGUUACCUGCCCCAAUGACCGGGACAACCCGAGGAAACUCGGGCUAAUACCGGAUGUGGUCUUCGGACGAAAGGAAGCUUUUAAUAGCCUCCGCAUUGGGAUGGGCCCGCGGCGCAUUAGCUUGUUGGUGGGGUAACGGCCUACCAAGGCGACGAUGCGUAGCUGGUCUGAGAGGACGAUCAGCCACACUGGGACUGAGACACGGCCCAGACUCCUACGGGAGGCAGCAGUGGGGAAUCUUGCACAAUGCGCGAAAGCGUGAUGCAGCAACGCCGCGUGAGGGAAGACGGCCUUCGGGUUGU
rnacentral:rRNA from 1 species